GGGGGAGUACCAGAGUGGUCAAAUGGGCCUGACUGUAAAUCAGGUGUUUCGGCUUCGGUAGUUCGAAUCUACCCUCCCCCACCA
rnacentral:tRNA from 8 species